GUACACUUAGUAGGAUCUCCUAUCUUCUCAAAAGGUACUUGGGUAUGCUUAACAAUGAGAAUAGAGAUAAUUUUAGAAUCUACAAUGAGACGAUGUGAGACAUCGACUCCAAAAAAAGAUGUGAAAUAGCUUUCCUGAGUAGAGAUCUUUUGAAGAUUUCUGUGUAGAAUAGCAUAUGGAUUUCACUUCUUGUGAUAGGAGAUCUCAAAGUCUAAUAAUUUUGAAGUUGGAACAGUCAUUUUGAUGA
rnacentral:lncRNA from 1 species